AGGCGUGCUAUUUCAGGUCCUGUAAAAAAUCAUUAAAACUGAUUCGUGAUACCAGUACCCAGACAUUUGGAAGUAACAAAGCAAGAUGGUUCAAUUACCCGAGCCACAUGGAAAUUGAACUUAUCAUGUCAACAAAAUUAUGGUGGAUGGGAGGCUAUCUUUGUGCAUCAAGAUGGAGAAGCUUUUUUAAGCGUUGGGGAGGACUUGACAAUAUUCACGGUGCACUCCAGGUUGAGGCGAUGGCACAAGGAAGGAGAUUAGCAUCGGAAUUAACAUGGGGACCUAUGCCUAAUGCGACAUUCUUGGGAGAUGCACGAUGUCCUUCAGAAGAUCCUCUUUACAACAGCCAAGAUGGAGAGG